rnacentral:rRNA from 1 species
ACGGUAACAGGAAGCAGCUUGCUGCUUCGCUGACGAGUGGCGGACGGGUGAGUAAUGUCUGGGAAGCUGCCUGAUGGAGGGGGAUAACUACUGGAAACGGUAGCUAAUACCGCAUAAUGUCGCAAGACCAAAGAGGGGGACCUUCGGGCCUCUUGCCAUCGGAUGUGCCCAGAUGGGAUUAGCUUGUUGGUGGGGUAACGGCUCACCAAGGCGACGAUCCCUAGCUGGUCUGAGAGGAUGACCAGCCACACUGGAACUGAGACACGGUCCAGACUCCUACGGGAGGCAGCAGUGGGGAAUAUUGCACAAUGGGCGCAAGCCUGAUGCAGCCAUGCCGCGUGUAUGAAGAAGGCCUUCGGGUUGUAAAGUACUUUCAGCGGGGAGGAAGGGAGUAAAGUUAAUACCUUUGCUCAUUGACGUUACCCGCAGAAGAAGCACCGGCUAACUCCGUGCCAGCAGCCGCGGUAAUACGGAGGGUGCAAGCGUUAAUCGGAAUUACUGGGCGUAAAGCGCACGCAGGCGGUUUGUUAAGUCAGAUGUGAAAUCCCCGGGCUCAACCUGGGAACUGCAUCUGAUACUGGCAAGCUUGAGUCUCGUAGAGGGGGGUAGAAUUCCAGGUGUAGCGGUGAAAUGCGUAGAGAUCUGGAGGAAUACCGGUGGCGAAGGCGGCCCCCUGGACGAAGACUGACGCUCAGGUGCGAAAGCGUGGGGAGCAAACAGGAUUAGAUACCCUGGUAGUCCACGCCGUAAACGAUGUCGACUUGGAGGUUGUGCCCUUGAGGCGUGGCUUCCGGAGCUAACGCGUUAAGUCGACCGCCUGGGGAGUACGGCCGCAAGGUUAAAACUCAAAUGAAUUGACGGGGGCCCGCACAAGCGGUGGAGCAUGUGGUUUAAUUCGAUGCAACGCGAAGAACCUUACCUGGUCUUGACAUCCACGGAAGUUUUCAGAGAUGAGAAUGUGCCUUCGGGAACCGUGAGACAGGUGCUGCAUGGCUGUCGUCAGCUCGUGUUGUGAAAUGUUGGGUUAAGUCCCGCAACGAGCGCAACCCUUAUCCUUUGUUGCCAGCGGUCCGGCCGGGAACUCAAAGGAGACUGCCAGUGAUAAACUGGAGGAAGGUGGGGAUGACGUCAAGUCAUCAUGGCCCUUACGACCAGGGCUACACACGUGCUACAAUGGCGCAUACAAAGAGAAGCGACCUCGCGAGAGCAAGCGGACCUCAUAAAGUGCGUCGUAGUCCGGAUUGGAGUCUGCAACUCGACUCCAUGAAGUCGGAAUCGCUAGUAAUCGUGGAUCAGAAUGCCACGGUGAAUACGUUCCCGGGCCUUGUACACACCGCCCGUCACACCAUGGGAGUGGGUUGCAAAAGAAGUAGGUAGCUUAACCUUCGGGAGGGCGCUUACCACUUUGUGAUUCAUGACUGGGGUGAAGUCGGAACAAGGUA